UACGAAGGGUGCAAACGUUGCUCGGAAUUAUUGGGCGUAAAGCGCACGUAGGCGGUUCGUUAUGUCGGAUGUGAAAGCCCUUGGCUUAACCGAGGAAGUGCAUCCGAAACUGGCGAGCUAGAGUACUAAAGAGGAUCGCGGAAUUCCCGGUGUAGAGGUGAAAUUCGUAGAUAUCGGGAGGAACACCAGUGGCGAAGGCGGCGAUCUGGGUUGAUACUGACGCUGAGGUGCGAAGCAUGGAGCGAACGAGG
rnacentral:rRNA from 1 species